CACCGCCCGUCGUUGUCCGGAACUGAUCUCUCUCGAGAGGAUUGCGGACUACUGUAUCGAGGCCUUCGGGUCGCGGUGUGGCGGUAAACAGUUCAAUCGCAAUGGCCUGAACCGGAUAAAAGUCGUAACAAGGUAUCCGUAGGUGAACCUGCAGAUG
rnacentral:ncRNA from 1 species